rnacentral:rRNA from 1 species
GACGAACGCUGGCGGCGUGCUUAACACAUGCAAGUGGAGCGACGAACCGGGGCUUGCCCCGGGGCAGAGCCGCGAACGGGUGAGUAACACGUGGGUAACCUGCCUCAAUGAUUGGGACAACCCGGGGAAACUCGGGCUAAUACCAAAUGUGUUCACUCCUUCUAAGGGGAGUGAGGAAAGGAAGCUUCGGCCUCCGCAUUGAGAUGGGCCCGCGGCCCAUUAGCUUGUUGGUGAGGUAACGGCUCACCAAGGCUUCGAUGGGUAGCUGGUCUGAGAGGACGAUCAGCCACACUGGGACUGAGACACGGCCCAGACUCCUACGGAGGCAGCAGUGGGGAAUCUUGCACAAUGCGCGAAAGCGUGAUGCAGCAACGCCGC